rnacentral:lncRNA from 1 species
AAAGAUCAAUUUUUUAGAAAAACCUUCUAUAAACUUGUUGAAAAUAUUACACCAAACUAAUGUUAGAACUGAAGAACAACUAUUCACUGGCCAAGUAACAAAGAUACUUUGGAAUAAGACUACUCUUGAUGUAGAAAAGUCACAUUCAAUUUAAAGCAUAGAAAAGAACUCACAUGGCCUUCCCUCUCCGCUCAUCACAUGAGUGUGAUUAGUGACAAUCAAACAAACAAAUAACAAAAGAGCCCACACACUAGAGCCAAUCCCAAAAGGUUGUGACCCUAAUAUAAGCGAGAAAUUUUACCAUACAUCCAUCCUACAUACAAUGAUUUUAUUAUAACUAUUAAUCAUGAUGGAUUCCAUAUAGGUUCCACAAUGAUCAAUGGUUAAUAUCUAACAUUGUAUAUACAACUUAAUUUAGCUUGGAGUAAGAAGAAAAUCACUCUUGAAUGUUUAGUCAGAUACAUGUGAUUACUCGCAGCAAUUAGGCUGGUGUUCUUUCUGCAACUUCUCCCAAAG